rnacentral:sRNA from 1 species
CGGGUAGACAGAUUGGCCCCGACUGAAGACCAAUCUUAAUGUUAAAAAGGAAUUAAUAUCAUG